AUGUCUUUCCCUCCCUUUCUACCAACUUUUCCUUUCCUCUCUCACUUCCAUUCUCUCUCUCACUAUGUACAAUUUCCCCAGUUCUUGUUUUUACCGGUGACUAUCAUGGCUAGCUGCUAUAACAGUUGGUUAAUUAAUGGGCCUAACGGCCUAAAAUACACACACACACAAUGUCUGUACCUUCACAAUUCAACAGAAAGCAGGUCAGCAGGUGGGGACAGACUUCCUCCACCACGGAACAGAAAGCGCAGAAUGCAGACGGCUCCUUGGAAGACAACUGGUCCAGGAACACCUCGGCCCUCUUUCUGCUGGAGUCCUGGCCCAGUACCUCCUUGUACUCCACCAGGGAGAACACCUUGUCGUUCACCAGGGUUUCCUGGUCGACCUCGCGGGUUUUUGUUUCUUCUGCUUCGUGAUGAACCACUUCUUGGCUCCACUCCCGAACAUCUUGAGGCUGACGAGUUGGACCAAGGCUUCUUCAACGGUUCUUUCGAUACAGCGACUGAGAGAGAAAGAUCGCAUGUUGAUGUUUCAAACCGGUGAGGCUACCAUCCAUGACACGUCCUGCAUCCCCUGGUGGAGAAGCCUAGGCAUCAACAUGUCCUACCAUCUCCCCCUGGAAACAAACACCCGUCCCGGCUUUGUUGUGGUUCACUGAGUGUCUGGGACAGGAAGAGACUAAUCUGGACAGUGGCCUGCAGCAAAAUCCCACUGUAGCCUGGUGCUGAUGGAUGAGAUAAGAGGAUUAUCAGAGUUGUCUAAGUACACUGCUCCAAACUGCUCAGUGCCACUGGUGCACCUGGAAGACACCACAUGGGUUCAAUGUCAGUUUGGUUAUGGUUACUUGAUUCAAAAAAUCUAUUUUUAGUGUUUCUGUUCAUGCAUUGAAUAUACUGUUUGUCUAGAUUUGGAUCCAUCCCGAAGAGAAAUGAUCCAGUCAAUGGUCACAGGAUGUACGCUGACCUAGGAUCAGACCCAAUACCAGGCUGGAUACAGGGUGUAUCUUACUCAUUAGACUGAUCCUAGAUCAAUACUCCGACUCUCAGUCUGGAUACAGGCCCUGUGUCUAAUUCAUUACACUGAUCCUAGAUCUGUUACAGGCCGUGGAGUUGCAUGUAUCAAGUGUCCUUGUUUAGUAUUGCGGAUCCAGGAUCAGCCUUUCUAGAUUAUAAUGAGGAAGAAUACAGCUAUCAUGCUUUGUCUAUAAAAAAUGUAAUAUUGCCAGAUUAGACCUCCUACUCAAUAAAGAC
rnacentral:lncRNA from 1 species